rnacentral:rRNA from 1 species
GACGAACGCUGGCGGCGUGCUUAACACAUGCAAGUCGAACGGAAAGGCCCUGCUUUUGUGGGGUGCUCGAGUGGCGAACGGGUGAGUAACACGUGAGUAACCUGCCCUUGACUUUGGGAUAACUUCAGGAAACUGGGGCUAAUACCGGAUAGGAGCUCCUGCUGCAUGGUGGGGGUUGGAAAGUUUCGGCGGUUGGGGAUGGACUCGCGGCUUAUCAGCUUGUUGGUGGGGUAGUGGCUUACCAAGGCUUUGACGGGUAGCCGGCCUGAGAGGGUUACCGGCCACAUUGGGACUGAGAUACGGCCCAGACUCCUACGGGAGGCAGCAGUGGGGAAUAUUGCACAAUGGGCGGAAGCCUGAUGCAGCAACGCCGCGUGCGGGAUGACGGCCUUCGGGUUGUAAACCGCUUUCGCCUGUGACGAAGCGUGAGUGACGGUAAUGGGUAAAGAAGCACCGGCUAACUACGUGCCAGCAGCCGCGGUGAUACGUAGGGUGCGAGCGUUGUCCGGAUUUAUUGGGCGUAAAGGGCUCGUAGGUGGUUGAUCGCGUCGGAAGUGUAAUCUUGGGGCUUAACCCUGAGCGUGCUUUCGAUACGGGUUGACUUGAGGAAGGUAGGGGAGAAUGGAAUUCCUGGUGGAGCGGUGGAAUGCGCAGAUAUCAGGAGGAACACCAGUGGCGAAGGCGGUUCUCUGGGCCUUUCCUGACGCUGAGGAGCGAAAGCGUGGGGAGCGAACAGGCUUAGAUACCCUGGUAGUCCACGCUGUAAACGGUGGGUACUAGGUGUGGGGUCCAUUCCACGGGUUCCGUGCCGUAGCUAACGCUUUAAGUACCCCGCCUGGGGAGUACGGCCGCAAGGCUAAAACUCAAAGGAAUUGACGGGGCCCCGCACAAGCGGCGGAGCAUGCGGAUUAAUUCGAUGCAACGCGUAGAACCUUACCUGGGUUUGACAUGGAUCGGGAGUGCUCAGAGAUGGGUGUGCCUCUUUUGGGGUCGGUUCACAGGUGGUGCAUGGCUGUCGUCAGCUCGUGUCGUGAGAUGUUGGGUUAAGUCCCGCAACGAGCGCAACCCUUGUUCACUGUUGCCAGCACGUUAUGGUGGGGACUCAGUGGAGACCGCCGGGGUCAACUCGGAGGAAGGUGGGGAUGACGUCAAGUCAUCAUGCCCCUUAUGUCCAGGGCUUCACGCAUGCUACAAUGGCUGGUACAGAGAGUGGCGAGCCUGUGAGGGUGAGCGAAUCUCGGAAAGCCGGUCUCAGUUCGGAUUGGGGUCUGCAACUCGACCUCAUGAAGUCGGAGUCGCUAGUAAUCGCAGAUCAGCAACGCUGCGGUGAAUACGUUCCCGGG